UCGAGCGGCAGCGCGGGGCAACCUGGCGGCGAGCGGCGAACGGGUGAGUAAUGCAUCGGAACGUGUCCCGUAGUGGGGGAUAACCCGGCGAAAGCCGGACUAAUACCGCAUAUKCUCUACGGAGGAAAGCGGGGGAUUCGCAAGAACCUCGCGCUAUGGGAGCGGCCGAUGUCCGAUUAGCUUGUUGGUGRGGUAAUGGCUUACCAAGGCGACGAYCGGUAGCUGGUCUGAGAGGAUGAUCAGCCACACUGGGACUGAGACACGGCCCAGACUCCUACGGGAGGCAGCAGUGGGGAAUUUUGGACAAUGGGGGCAACCCUGAUCCAGCCAUGCCGCGUGCGGGAAGAAGGCCUUCGGGUUGUAAACCGCUUUUGUCCGGAAAGAAAAGGCRYCWCCUAAUACGGGRYGUUCUUGACGGUACCGGAAGAAUAAGCACCGGCUAACUACGUGCCAGCAGCCGCGGUAAUACGUAGGGUGCGAGCGUUAAUCGGAAUUACUGGGCGUAAAGCGUGCGCAGGCGGUCCGCAAAGUCUGAUGUGAAAGCCCCGGGCUCAACCUGGGAACUGCAUUGGAAACUAACGGGCUYGAGUGUGGCAGAGGGGGGUGGAAUUCCACGUGUAGCAGUGAAAUGCGUAGAGAUGUGGAGGAACACCGAUGGCGAAGGCAGCCCCCUGGGCUAACACUGACGCUCANGCACGAAAGCGUGGGGAGCAA
rnacentral:rRNA from 1 species